rnacentral:rRNA from 1 species
AUUUUAAAUGGCCGCAGUAUUUUGACUGUGCAAAGGUAGCAUAAUCAUUAGUUCAUUAAUUGUGAGCUUGUAUGAAUGGUUGGACGAAAUAUUGGCUGUCUUACAUAUUUAAUUUUAUAAUUUAAAUUUUUAGUUAAAAUGCUUAAAUUUUUUUAUGGGACGAGAAGACCCUAUAGAUCUUUAUUUUAUUAUAUUUUAUUUUUUUUUUUGAUUUUCUUUUAUUUAUAUAUAUAUAUUGUUUUGUUGGGGUGACAUUGGGAUAUAAUUAACUCUUUUUUUUAUUAAUCAUUUAUUUAUGUUUAUUUGACCUUUUAUUAUUGUUAUAAGAUAUAGAUACCUUAGGGAUAACAGCGUAAUUUUUUUUGAGAGUUCAUAUCGACAAUAAAGAUUGCGACCUCGAUGUUGGAUUAAGAUUAUAUUUGGGUGUAGGUGCUUUUAUAUUAAGUCUGUUCGACUUUUAAAUUCUUACAUGAUCUGAGU